rnacentral:lncRNA from 1 species
AUCACAAUGGCAGAAAUUUUUUAAAUAUAAAAGAUGGCCACCUCCGUAAUUACUUUGUAAGCGAAUGUGAAAAUGUUUUAUAGUCAGUCUCAUGGAAUUCUUAGAGCGGUGCUGCGAUUUUAUGAAUUAUUCUUCUGAUAUAUCUCUAGCAUUAUUAGUCGGUACAGUAUUAGCUACUUUCCUUAUUUAUUUUUGCCAUCGUUGGGGCCAAAUAAAAUUUCAAAAAGAAGAUGGCGUUUGUCAAUCGUCUUCGUGUUUACGGUGUAACUCGGACGAAAGUUUCCAAGAAAUUACUAAAAGGAAGUUUACCAUAUAUUUAAAUAAAUGUCAAAGACCACAUUUACUUUUAAAUUUAAAAAAAGAUAUUUUAGUUUCUAGAGAGGAUC